GGGGCCGACUGGUUUCGAUUGGUUGGUAUCUGAUGAGGGAAGCACGUCGAGGAAUCAUCGUUACCUCGUAAAUCAUAAAGAUGACAAAAUAAAUGCAGACAAGAACGCAUUUGCUCUCGCAGCCUAAAGUGCUGUGAGCGGUAGGGGAAUUUAGGGUUCCAGUAUCUCCCCUAUUGUCGUUUCUAGGAACUUGUUGUAUGGUAGUGGGUCUCUAACCGCCAUACAAGACCUUAUGAGAGACUAAGCCACCGGACUGAGGCAAGCAAUGUUCGGGGAUGAAAAUAUACACUUUGCCUAAACGUGUAGAAGACUUAUCAUAACCAAGCAAGACGGGAGUUCGAUUCUCCCCGGCUCCACGA
rnacentral:tmRNA from 1 species